rnacentral:rRNA from 1 species
CCUACGGGCGGCAGCAGUCGGGAAUAUUGCGCAAUGGAGGAAACUCUGACGCAGUGACGCCGCGUGCAGGAAGAAGGUUUUCGGAUUGUAAACUGCUUUAGACAGGGAAGAAGAAAGUGACGGUACCUUAGGAAUAAGCCUCGGCUAACUACGUGCCAGCAGCCGCGGUAAUACGUAGGAGGCGAGCGUUAUCCGGAAUGACUGGGCGUAAAGGGUGCGUAGGUGGUUUGGCAAGUUAGUAGCGUAACUCCAAGGCUCAACCUUGGAACUACUACUAAAACUGUUGGACUUGAGUGCAGGAGGGGCAACCGGAAUUCCUAGUGUAGCGGUGGAAUGCGUAGAUAUUAGGAGGAACACCAGUGGCGAAGGCGGGUUGCUAGACUGUAACUGACACUGAGGCACGAAAGCGUGGGGAGCAAACAGGAUUAGAUACCCCUGUAGUC